CCUACGGGAGGCACCAGUGGGGAAUAUUGGACAAUGGGCGAAAGCCUGAUCCAGCAAUGCCGCGUGUGUGAAGAAGGUCUUCGGAUUGUAAAGCACUUUCGACGGGGACGAUGAUGACGGUACCCGUAGAAGAAGCCCCGGCUAACUUCGUGCCAGCAGCCGCGGUAAUACGAAGGGGGCUAGCGUUGCUCGGAAUGACUGGGCGUAAAGGGCGCGUAGGCGGUUUAUGCAGUCAGAUGUGAAAUCCCCGGGCUUAACCUGGGAACUGCAUUUGAGACGCAUAGACUAGAGGUCGAGAGAGGGUUGUGGAAUUCCCAGUGUAGAGGUGAAAUUCGUAGAUAUUCGGAGGAACACCAGUGGCGAAGGCGGCUUACUGGUCUGCAACUGACGCUGAGGCGCGAAAGCGUGGGGAGCAAACAGGAUUAGAUACCCGUGUAGUC
rnacentral:rRNA from 1 species